UUAACAUAUAAAUGCAACAAUAUUGUUCAGUCAAAGAGACGGACGUACUGAUUAGUUUGUUUCACUUGCAGACAAAAAUCGACAAAAACAACUGCUUAUGAACAAUUGUUUGACUCGAAAAGGACAAUACGAUCAAACAACAACAGUGGUAUCGACCGUGUCACAACCAAUAUGCAUAAUGCAGGUCCUAGCUCAAGAAUAGCAAAGCCAAAAGGAAAUCGAAAAUGACCGAGUUACGUGUCGGGACGAAAUGAAAAUAAAUUGUCGAAUGAUUGUUUGUAAAUAACGAUAACAGUUCACGGAAAAAAACUUGUAUCAUCUGAUGCGGUGAAAGAAAAUAGUGAAUUGCUCGCUUCAUUUAUUUGCUGUUACCAGAAAGGUCAUGAAACGACAGUAAUACUGCGAACUUGCAUUAAACUGCGUUGGUUUUGAUAAAGGUUUGCCUUUUCAUUGAGUAAGUCACUUGAAUGAUGCAUUGCUUAGCUUUUUCAUAAUUAUAAUUAAUGGAAAUCAUUUCUCAUGUAUGAAAACGCAUUUGGAUGUAUUAUAGUUAAUUUAAUUCUUUAUAGCUGCAUGUGUGUGUGUGUGUGCGUGUGUGUGUGUGUGUGUGUGUGUGAAAUAUUAUGAGUCUAUUGUGUAUACUGUUGAUACAUUUAAACUGGGCAUACGAGUUAAGUGACUAUUAGCCAGACAUGUUUACUUAACAUUUACAUUUAUAGUAGCAUUUCAAACAUAUUAAUUUAAAUAUUAAUUGGUAAAUGCAUAUAUAUGUAAUUAUUUACUGCAUAACUUUUAGCAUGAGUCAAAGCCUUUGAUUGCACUUGAACGAUACAUUGCUUAUAUUUAAUAUUUAACAUAUUUUGGAUUACAACUCCCAUGUAUAAAACACAUUUUGAUGUCAUAAUAAUUAGUUUACUUUUUUAUGACUGUUUGUGUGACUGUGUGUUGUUUAAUGUGUACUAAUACUGUUAAUAUGAAUCAACUGACUAUUAACCAGGCGUGUUUGCAUAGCUUUUAAAUUAAAAGUACAAAUUAAAACAUGUAAAACAAAAUGCUGAUUUGUAAACACAUACUUUAGUAAUUUACAUUAUUUACACAACAGAAGGUAGCAAUACAUCAAUCCCCGCCCCCCGGAAAAACGGGCAGU